GAAGAGUUUCAUUCAAGGCGCGUACAGCGCCUAAGUGCGAGGCAGCUAUGCGUGCGCGUACAUGGUGGCUUGCACAAGUGCACCUUCAAAUCCCGCAAAUGUUGACGACUGUGUGAAAAGCCGUGAAGAGCCUCGUAACUCCCGCCUCCCCUGCUCUUCAUACGAGCCAGGAGUUCCCUUUUCCUGUCACGCGUUGAUUUUUGCAGACCUGCCUCUGAGCAACAAUGGCAAGCGAGAGCAGUGAAACGCGGACCGCGGCAGAGGGGGGACCCCCCAAACUGCAGUUUGUUCCCUUCAGCAGUGCCUUGGAUGCGGGCUUUUGGCAUGAGCUGACCCAGAAGAAACUCAAUGAGUACAAGCUUGACGAGACGCCAAAAGCGAUCAGAGGAUAUUAUUAUAAUGGAGAUCCUGCUGGCAUGCCUGCUCGUUUAACACUAGAGUUUAGUGCUUUUGAUCUGAAUGCCCCAACGCCAGCACGUUGCUGCCCUGCACUUGGAACAUUGCAUAACACUAAUACCUUGGAAGCAUUCAAAUCCUGUGACAAGAAGCUGCUGCUUGAGCAAGCAGCAAAUGAGAUAUGGAACGCAAUAACAUCGGGGGAUGCAAUGGAAAAUCCUGUCUUACUGAACCGAUUUCUCCUGUUGACGUUUGCAGAUUUAAAGAGAUACCGCUUCUAUUACUGGUUUUGUUACCCUGCAUUGUGCCUUCCAGAAGGCAUCCCUUUGAUUCAGCAACCUGUUUGCCUAAGUGCAAAGUUCUCUUCAGUUCAGAUUCAGGAAUUCCAGAAUGCAUAUGAUGAACUUUGCCAGAAAGAAGGUGUAACAGCCCUGCCUUAUUUUUUAAUCAAGUAUGAUGAUGAUUCUGUUUUUGUGAGCUUGCUUAAAAACUCAGAUGACUUCUUCCCUGAUCCACGAAAAAAGUUGACACUUGGUGUUUAUGACCCAUGUAAUUUUGCCCAGUAUCCUGGAUGGCCGCUGAGAAAUAUGUUGGUCCUGGCAGCACAUAAAUGGGGCAGCCACCUCCGCUCCAUGGAAGUUCUCUGCUUCAGGGACAGGACCAUGCAGGGCGCAAGAGACAUUUCACACAGUACCAUUUUUGAAAUACAGCUUCCACAGGUGACACAGAGUCCAGAUUGUCCAAAAGCUGUUGGAUGGGAGAAAAAUCAAAAGGGAAGCAUGGGCCCUAGAAUGGUCAAUCUAAGUGAAUGUAUGGACCCCAAAAGGUUGGCUGAAUCUUCAGUAGAUCUUAAUCUUAAAUUGAUGUGUUGGAGGUUAGUGCCUACGCUUGACCUGGAGAGAGUUGUAUCUGCAAAGUGUCUUCUGCUAGGAGCUGGUACGCUGGGCUGUAGUGUAGCCAGAACCUUGAUGGGAUGGGGAGUCAGGAAGAUCACAUUUGUGGACAACGCCAAGAUCUCUUACUCCAACCCGGUGCGGCAGCCACUGUAUGAGUUUGAAGACUGUCUUGGGGGUGGGAAGCCCAAAGCAGUUGCAGCCGCAGACAGGCUUCAAAAAAUAUUCCCAGGAGUGAACGCUGAAGGCUUUAAUAUGAGCAUCCCAAUGCCCGGGCACCCAGUGAACUUUUCAGAAGUCACCCUGGAGCAAGCUCGCAAGGACGUGGCACAGCUGGAAGAACUGAUUGAUAGCCAUGAUGUCAUCUUUUUGCUAAUGGACACCCGGGAGAGCCGAUGGCUUCCUGCUGUCAUUGCAGCCAGCAAGCGAAAGCUGGUUAUUAAUGCUGCUUUGGGAUUUGAUACAUUUGUUGUGAUGAGACAUGGACUAAAGAAACCGAAGCAUCAAGAAGUAGGUGAUUCUCCCAGCAAUAAUCCCUCAGGCUCAGCUGAUCUUUUGGGAUCAUCACUCUUCUCAAAUAUCCCUGGUUACAAACUCGGCUGCUAUUUCUGCAAUGACGUUGUGGCACCAGGAGAUUCCACCAGAGAUCGGACCUUGGAUCAGCAAUGCACAGUCAGCCGACCAGGAUUAGCCACGAUAGCAGGAGCACUUGCUGUUGAACUAAUGGUAUCCAUUUUACAGCAUCCAGAAGGUGGCUAUGCUGUUGCUAGCAGCAGUGAUGACAGAAUGAAUGAACCUCCCACCUCCCUUGGACUUGUGCCCCACCAGAUUCGAGGCUUUUUAUCAAGAUUUGACAAUGUCCUUCCUGUCAGCCUGGCUUUUGACAAGUGUACUGCCUGUUCUCCCAAAGUCCUUGAGCAGUAUGAAAGAGAAGGCUUUAAAUUCCUGGCAAAGGUUUUUAAUUCCUCCCAUUCCUUCUUAGAAGAUCUCACAGGCCUCACUCUGCUGCAUCAGGAGACCCAGGCUGCUGAGGACUGGACACAGCACAUACCAUGUUCAGCCAAUUUGUCUCUUAAGAGAAAACUGAAGAAGCAAUUCCCACAUGACCUAGACACACAUUGAACAGGCUCUAUGCGGACUGAGCGGCACGGUGGUUCCCACUGCGGGGCACAAGGAAUCUCACGCCAACGUUCCAACCCAGCCUGCAGGCAGCCAUGGCUCUACUGGCAAGUUAACUACUGAAAGUCUGCUGUUGUUGCUAUGUGCUGUCAAGUCAUCUCUGCCUUAUGGGGACCCUAUGAAUGAAAGCCCUCCAAGAUGUUCUGCCAGUGACAGUCCUCUUCAUAUCCUGUAAUUUAUUGAAAGUAUGAAUUCCAUAAAUGGAAGCCAUUAUGAAUGGGUGAAUGAAUGUGCACUAGUUGAGUGGGUUACUGCAGGCGCGUAUUAAUGCUUCUGAUACAUCCAAUGCCUGAUAAACUCUAAGCAUAAAAUGUCCCAGUCUAAGUUAAGUCAGCUGUAACUGCAUCUGAAGUGGUAUGGUCCAAAGUAGUUCGAUCUACUAUAGUACUUUAUAGUCCCAUUGCAUAUAUAGAAUGCUUAUGACUUAACAUAAAGUGUUUAUUCCCUUAACAGAAUUAUUACCCAUAAUUUAAAUGACUAAUAGCCUGUUUCCAAAUAUUAUUUCCAGUCCUGCAGGUCUUGCAUCCCCAUUCUUAACUUCAUUAUUUCCUCUUGUAUAGCAGCUAAUAGUUCUACAAGGACUGUAGAAAACCAUUUUUCCAUUGUUGCAUAAUGCUGUGUCAAUAUAUCUUGCAUGUUAAGUUUAGUUUUAUGGAAACUAAUCAACAUAAACAAAUAUGAAUGUUAGUAGGAAUAUGGAAUAUUUUUUCUAUUCCGAUCAGACUCCAAAUACAGAACAAAAAUGAUAUACUCGUUGCUCCUUUAUUGUCCAACUGGGUGCAAUUCACCUUCACUCAAAGGGCACACAAGAGGAACAGUUUCAGCAGUGUCCUGUGUGAUAAAACCAGGCCAACAACUUUAACAAAGUACUGUGGCUGGCAAAAGUUCUAGGUGUUUGCCCAUUUAGUCAUGUUUUAUAAAAAGUUAAGCAGGUGGUUAGUUUUCAUAUUUGGCCUCAGGCGGAGUAUACUGCUCAAUAAAGACACCCAGAAAAUUCAUAUGCCAGCCAGAAGCUUAUUUAGUGGUCAAUUAAAAUGAUACUUUCCCAGAGUCAAGUGUUGAACAUCCUAGCCUGCCAGAAAAAGUAAUUUUUCCUAGCUUGAAUUUCAGGGCAAUAUGAGUUUAAUGGACAAAUUCCUAAAGUCAUGAGUGAAACCAACCAAAAUCAAUAUGCAAAGUUCAGAAGAGGAAGCUUCUGGAGACAGAAGUUGCUGUUAAAAAAACACUGGAAGAUUGCCUUGCUGACCCUAUCCAGAGGCCUGAAGGCAGGCAUUUUAUUAUAUUGCUCUUUUCUAACAUAAAACACUGCAGGUGGAUAUGAAUAAACCUGUUACUAGUUAAUAAAUUCAAAACAUACUUUGGUGCCAAGAACUAUAUGUCCUAUGUGAAGUCACUAAACAAUUGUGCUGCAUAUUAUGUUUAUAAUGACAAUCCCAGGGUGACUUCAGAUACAUGCCCCACAUACUCAAGGAAAGAAUGCUGUAAUUAAGUGGAUUUAAAGGCAAAUAUAUUUAAAAGGUAGCAACUGUUAUACAUAUUUUCAGACAGAAAACAUUCUGAAAGUACAGCAUACAAAAAGAGAUUCCAUUGCUUUUGAGAUGGCUGCUUUACAUCUCCAGAAAAUUCUACUCAAAGUGAUUAAGUCUGUCUAAAAGAAGUCCAACAAGACAUGCAUAUAAGCUAUAUUCAGACAUAAGGUUUCCUUCUUCCCUUCAUGUGUAAGAAGAUAUUGGGAGCUUCUGUUUCUGAUCUGCUGUUUCAUCAAAAGCCAACAAUUUACACGAAGUGGGGUCCCUUCGUUAGGGUUGUAGGGAAAUGGCAGUUUGAGCAAACUGGUUUGCUGGCUUCAGACAAAACAGCAAACCUUGAUUUGCCAUAAGUCCACUGCAAGUGCAUAGUAACCUCCUUUUAAGGAAUGUGCAAACUUGAUAACAGAUGUUCUUUGAAUGUAGUCAUAGAUUUCAUUUUCCUCAAAUCAGUAGAUGAGUACAGUUAUACUUCUGUGUAGUAUUUAUAUAAUUAUCCUUUUAAAGUUCAAAUGCAUUUCUAGAGCUUGUCUAGUACAGCCUAAAUUAUCAGGGUCCCAAAAGUUGAAAGACAUGCUUUGAAUCCAAACUUAAUCACACUUAAAUUCCCAGUGGAAGAAUGGGACCAGUUAGUCAAGAAUCAAUUCACAACUAUUUCUAAUGCUCAGUUUGUUUCUUUUGAAUAAAACAUUUUCAAAAACAUUUCCUUUGUUCCCGGUUUCCCAGUUUCAUAAUACAAUUUUGUCACAUUAUGAAAUAAAAAGACAAAGAAAAAAAAGAGAAACAAGCAUAAACAUCAUUAACAAGAAAACAUUGCAUGUGAAUUUAUAUUAUCAUAACAUGUAUCAUCCUGGUAAACAGCCUGUUUUUUGUACAAAUCUGUCAUUUCACUGUCUUCAUUUGAUAAUACACACUGCCUUUGUCAGUUCAGACCAUAUAAUGCUUAUAAGAAGUAUCUCAUAUUUGGAAAAAACAGACCUGUAUUGAUGGAGAAUUUAUUUUCUCCUAAGCAUAAGCGCAAAGAUCAAAAUUUUCUGUGUACACUUAACGUGGCUCAAGCCAGCAGAGGGGAAAUAAAUUAGUGCAUUUGAUUUGUUUAUACACAAACUUAAUUGUCCUGGAAAGGGCCACCCAGUUAAAAAUCUAGUAGUCGUCUGAAACAUAACUUCAGAAGAACUACAGCAGUGGAGAUCCUUGCCAAACAUCCCUUCAUUCUAAUGAAUCCUUUCCAAAAUCUAUUUGAAAGUCUUAGAACAAAAGAUGAAGCUACAAGUUUUGCAUGAAGGCCUAACUUUACAUACUGCAAGUGAUAUAUUGUUGUGCAAAUGUUUUCUUUGCAUAGCACAUAACACAAGCCAAAUACACAGCACCAACAGGUGCCAAAAAUGAAUCUUUUAAUUCUUUACAUGCCUACAGUUACAAAAUAGUUAACAAAGAGCCAUUUAAGUUUAUCUGCUUUUGUCCCACCUUUUAAAACUUUCUAUGGGUUUACAUCCUUACAGCAGAUUUUCUUCCAAAUCUCAAACAAGUUAUAUCCAGAAGAUGAAAAUGGAAACUGCUGAGCAAUGCAUCAUGUAAAGUUUAUUAGAAGCUUGUAAAUAGCCACUCUUGUGGCACUCUAUGAUGAUUAAUAAUUAUCUCCUUGAGUCAAGAAGAAGAAACGCUUGUAUUAGAAAUUACUUGGUUGUAUCCUUCAUCCUUUCAGGCCAAUUAUGUGCCAGAAACAUGGGUAUAUAUAGGCAGCCGCACAGGUGAUGUUUGCAGCAUUAUUUUCAAGGGUCAAGGGAGUUUAGAGGACAGUCUAUCCCAAGCAGUGUAUCUCUCCAGAUAUUUUGGGCUUCAUCUUCCACCAGCCACAGCCAGCAAAACCAAUGGCCAUGUCCAAAACAUCUGGAGGGCACCAGGAAGGGGAAGGCUGUUAUAGGUUUCCUUGAAUGAAGCACAGCAGGGAUGUCAAGUGUAAAACGCUCGGGUAUAUUCUUGUCUAAGAUGGUGCUACAUUAUACUGCGUUAGAGUGCUUUACACUUAAUGCGGAUGGAGGUAUAUGAAGUAGUAGUGAAGUGAAUGGGAGGUCUGCAUGUAACGUAAGCCCAAUGUUUCUCAUGUUUCUUUUCUUCUUGUUGGGCAAUGUGAACAAGCCAUGUUGUGACUAUAUGCAACCUGAUCAGCCCCUCUUGCCAACCACAGGAGCAAUCAAGCAGUGUGUACCAGAACUUGACUGGCUCAUGGUAACCCAGACUGAAAAAACAAACAGGAUUGCCAUUUCAGGCAAACUGGCCAUUUCAAACUAGAAUUCCCUGUCAAUAUGGACACUUUUAUCAUGACAAAAAUACACAACACCAACACUAGCAGAAAAGGUCUUCUGGAAAAUUGUAGGAGGAUAAAUGUAAACUAAUUAAGCUGUAUGUAAAUAAAGUACAGUCGAGGCAAUCUUGGCUGCCAUGAUGCCUCGUGCCCCACAUUUCACCAGAUGGCUGUUUCCAGAUGCUCAAAGGAAGCACAGCUGGGGCUCUGCGUAGUUAUGGUGUGAGCUGAAAGCGCCAGCUUCCUUUGGCCAAUUUGUGACCUUGGAAAGGCAGCCAGCAUGGCUCUUUCACUGCUGAAAGGGUUUGGUGGGGAGAGGGCUCAGCCUUCCAAGUCACAGGACCUCAGAGCUGAGACUCUGAAAAAUCCUAUGCCCUCCCCCACAUGAAGUUAGAACGGCAGAGUAAUGCUCCCUACAACACUUUCCGUAGAUGUUUUUUGCUUGUUUGUUUCAUCUUUCUAAGUAUGAUGCAGUCAAGAACGCAUUCUUGUUGGGACAGUCUCUGACAGGAAGGGCCAGUUCACACAAUCAAAUAAAUCACACUGGCAUGUUUUAAUCCCUGGCAUGUGUCAGGCAGUAUUUCCCAAAGUGCCUGAUUCUGGUACACCUUCUUGAAUCAUCCAAACCUACGCUACAUGGCUUCUUUGAAGGAAUCCUCAUUGCCUGUUGAAUUUAAGCCACAGUGGCUUUUUGAUCAUGCAAACUGGGUUAAGGACAGGUACCAUUUGUCAGCCAUGAACACCAAAGCUCCUAUUUGCAUCUAUAUUCUAAAUUUUAGGUAGAAAACAUUAGGUUUUGUGCCCUUCCUUCCUUCCUUAUUUAUAACACUUGUAUGCCGUCCUUCACUAUUGCAUCUCAGGACUGCUUACAAGAUUAAAAGCAAAUCCACAGAACAAUUGAUAAACAGUACAAUACAAUAAAAUUAUCAAAACUAUUAGAAAUAAAUCCAAUCAAAACAAAACAAACACAACUGUAAAACAGUAAAAAUACUAAUUUUUAAAAUAACGAUUAAAUGAAAAGGUUUUAACCUGCUGCUGAAAAGCGUAUAGGCUCGGUGUCAGGUGAACCUCACUGGAGAGCGUAUGAUAAAAGACAGAGGCUACUUAUUUUCUGCACCGUGUAUGCCAGUCGCACACUUGGGGGAAAGGUUUGCACAAUCACCCUCACUGUCAAAGCGCAGUGUCUUGUGUGAAUCCAGCAUGGCUGCCUUGUUGCUGUGGCUAACAAGCCACCCCAGAACCCUCAACAGCUCAUGGACUGUUCGUGUGAACCAAUCCACUGACAUAGUUGUGGCUUUACUCAAGCAAAGGUGAAAAACCCCAGAACACAUGUAAGAUAUUUACGUGUUCUCUACUAUCAUCUUUGCUAGGAAAAUCAAUUCAUUUGCACAGAUACGAUCAAUCAAGAAAUAGAAUGUCUGUCUCAAAACAACAAAUAUAUUUCCUUUAAAAAUAACACAAUGGGUUCUCAUAUUAGGUAUCUUAGCUGCAGUGUUUCCUGGGACUCAGCUCCAAAUUUAUCUUUAUCAUGCCUUGACAUCAGCUCCUCAGCUCCCUUGAACCGAGUGCCACGCACCUCAAAAAAUGCUGCACAAGGGUUGGUGGAUUUGCAGUGAAAAGCCACAUACAGGACAAAGACUAGUUUGCUGACUACUCUUACAGUCUUCAGUACCUCAGGGGUCAAGAUAAUCAAGUACUGCUCAUGUUCUCUCUCUCAAGUAAGUAUCAUUAUCCUCUCCAUCCUUUUUGGUGGAGAGGAUAAUGCAUGAGGAGAGUCAUCCCUAAGAGCCGUUCCCAUUACUUCUUGCUACCUCUGCAUCCUCUCUACCUGUCACCAGUAUACCCCCCAUAUCCCACGAAGCCGCCAACGGGUAGGCAAGAGUUUUACAACGGGAAGGUCCAUGUGCAGGGCCAUCUCCACCUGUACCAAGAAUCUGGGAACAGAGCCCUCACAUUUGCCCACUUCACCAACUCAGCAUGCAGGAUAUCCAAAUAGAACAGAACAGAACAGAAAUCGGCAGCUGCAAGAUAUGAGACUUAGGUGUGACUGCAAUAACGAUAAGUCACGCCCCAAUAUUCAUUACUCCCUGCUAGCUGAAACAAAUAGAGAGGUCGGAAAAAGACAACUGCAUUUUGCCACCAUCAGGGCCCGUAUAAGGUGGUGAAAGGGCAAGGGGCACUCUUCCAGUGCCUGUACAAGCGUUCCAAGUACAAGACACAAAGGUCUUACCAAGGGAACAUAUGGACUAAUCUCCACCUUUCAAAACUGAGUGGGGGAAGGCAAUGAUCUGGAGUAAAUGCAGAACAGAAACUGCUUGAUCCACGUAUCUGAACAGAAGGUGAACCACUGUGUUUCCCGCAGGUCAGGAACAGAAGCAUGGCCUUCCUUACCCAGCCCUGGAGGAACAAAUGUUUUGCUGUCACCUGCUGGGAGGUACCUCAUCUGCCAUCUCAGUGGUUGUCCCUGUUCCCCACCCAGAUACCAGCACUGGGCAAUAAAAGUAAGCCAUCCAAAACCUUUGCUUAGUGAUGUCCCCUUUGUUCUGGAGAGAACUUCACCCUGCAGGAUGAGGUUUGCCAUUUGGGGGUGUUCUUGGAUCCAGCAUUGUUACUAGAGGCACAGGUGGACUUGGUGACACAGAGAAAGUGUUAUCAACUUAGGGUGAUGUAACAACUACAUUGUUAUCUAGAAAGAAAUAGCCUAGCUACAGUUAUCUGCAGUCUGGUAACCUUUUGCCUGGAUUACUGCACUGUGUUAUAUGUGGGGCUGCCUUUAUAAAUGAUCCAGGCACUUCAGCUGGUCCAAAAUCAGACAGCAAGUUCAUUAAUGGAACUGGCAACAUGCCCAUAUAAUGCCAGCACCAGUGCUUUUCCAUCUGCAUUAGCUGCCAGUCUGAGUUCAAUUCAAAGUAUUGACAUUAGCUCUUAACAGCCUAGGGCCAGAAUAACUGAAGAAGCAUCUUUUCCCAUAUAUACCUAGCCAGACCCAUUUUCAGUGGUCCUUCUCUGGGAACCCCCAGCAAAGGAAGUGAGAAGGGUGGCUACUAAGAAGACCUUUUGUGUUGUGGGCCCUUCGUUCUGGCAUGAGCUUCUCAGAGAGGCUUACCUGGCACCUAGUAAAUAUUUCCAGGCAUUUUACUUUUUCAGUUCCUAUUAUUUGAAAUCUGUUACUGUGUUUCAAAUUUUAUCGCUGCUGCUGCUAGUUUUUAUUUUAUUGUUAUACUAUAAUUUAAAUUUUUAUGUAUUUUAUUGUGCUGUAUUUUAUGUUUGUAAAAUAACUGUUCUGAACUGCCCAGAGAAUGGUAUAAAAUAUUCACACAAACAAACAAAGGUGCAAAGCUAAGCAUAUUUAGACAGGAAAAAGUCCUAUAUCCCUGGCAUUCUCCAACCUGGCUGGAGCAUGCUGGGAGAUGUAGGUCUUUUCCUGUCCAAACCUGCUUAGGAUUGCUCCCUUGGGGGUCCAGUAAAAAUAUUCUAGAUGCCUAUUUUUAAUUUUAUAUUCUUAAAUGUGUACUUCCCAGAGUUCAGACACUAAUGUCAAAGUCAGAUCAGAGGUUACGUGUUGCCUACCUCCUGGGGUUAUAAUUAAUCCCAUACAACUCUCUUUCUACAAGCAAAGAAUUCAGCUGCCUGCUGAACUGAUUAAAAAAAGUAAACGGAAUUUAGUUCUGAAUAUAUUCUGGCACACAGCCAUACAUGCAAAGUAACUGCAGAUAUGCAAAGUUUAAAUAGCAUAAAUAGCCAUAUAAAGUUCAUAAGCAGAUAUUAAAAGUAGCAUUCUUAUCAGCUUGUACAUUAUCGUUUAAAGAAUCUGGAAGCUGCAUAAAGCCCACAUAAAACUUCUGGCAACAGCCAGAAAACCUGAAAAGCCAGGUUAGUGUUAUAUAUCUGUGUAUCAGUAAUUUAUGCUGCAGCAAGACAACUAUAAAAAGUCCUGCAAAAUUCCAGUGGCCAGAUAACUGAAAUCAGAAGCUUCACUUAUAUCAAAUCUUUACAAAAAAUCUUGUCAUUUUCUUCAAGGAGAGACACCAAGAUCAGUUAAGAGUAUUGAGCGCACAGGACAAAAAUUCCUCUGUGGGGACUCCUCAGUUCUGGAAUGCCCUCUUGGUGGAGAGCUACCUGCCCUCCACUGCAUAAUCAUUUAAGCUGCCUCCAGGCCAAUUAUGAUUAAUUAGCAAAUGACUCAAAUGCAAAAGAAUAAUGGUCUAUGCCAACUUUCUGCCUCAAGUAUUUCCUGGAAAUGUCUGUCUGGUAAUGUACAUUGUGUUGGGAAGGCAAGCUCCUAAAAUUUGGCUUAUAAAUACCUAAAGGAACAAUUAAGUAAGUCUGCAUGUCUCUCACUGUUCACAGUAUUCUUGGAAUAAAUUUUGUCAAGUUACAUCAUAUAUAAUAUUUCCUACAGAGAAACAACCCCAAGUAGGAAAAAAGAUUUGCAUACUAAUGUUUGGAGUGUCAUUUGGGAGGGGAGCAUGUUGCCCUGGACAGCUACAUUAAUUAAAGUAUUCACAACUGAGUAAAAAAAAAAUUGCAACAAAACUUAAAUAAGCACAGUGUGUGAAUGGCUCGCUUGAAGACCACACAACUCCUUGCCCUAACUUUAAACAUGCACAAUUAUAUUUUGCAAGUUGUCACAUGACUAUAAUAAUAUUUCCUUGCCACCCCAGCUUGUCUGUUUCCAAUUAGAAACAGCCACCUUUGUGUACAUUAAGCCUGUUGGUGUUUAGCAAUAGUUAUAGCUUAGUCUCUGAUCUUUCCUUUUGGGGCACGGGAAGAUAACUGAAGAGUUAGCAAGGUGAAUCUGAUUCAUACUGCGGGGAGGGGGAACCACUGCUACCUCUCCAGCAGAGCGGCUGAUCCACUCGUACACUUCUCUGUUCAGUGCUUGCGAGUUUAAAUUAAUUUCAGCUGAAAAUAUGGUGCUGCCAUCUGGUUUCAAAAAGCAAGCUCUGGUUUGAAAAUCCGAAGAACAGGGAAUAAAUGAAAGCGCUCUCUUCCCUCCCCACACACAUUUUUUUUCUUGUACUAACCUCACUUUAAUCAUUGCCAAAGAGCAUGAAGACAGCCCUGCGUCCUCCCACAAGAAAGCCUUGGGCCUCACAAACUUGGCAAGCGCUCUCCUGCAGAAAAAGCUCAGCAGGCAGAAGCUGUGUCAAAAUAAGAGUCCGCCCAAGUACAAAAGCUGUGCUGAAAAGACAACAAGAAUGGAUUUCUUCAACACUCGUUGAAUAUUAUUUUUGAGAAAACUUCUCUUCAUUCCAGACUAAAGUUUCAGGUUUUUUUCCCAAGUCACCAAAGAAGGGAGGGAGAAAUGUGUCUUGGGUCCUCCAUGAAGCCAGAUGAUAAGGGCUGGUCCUGAGACAUCAAAAGGAGCAAAACCGUGGGGGCCCAAAGCAUACUUAUAGGUGCCCUAGGCAAGUCAGAGCCCAGACCGGGAUACCAGCCUGAGCAGAGCAGCCCGCCAGGACUCAGUGCAACUGAGAAGUGACACUGCACUUCAUAUCACGUUUCAAGGAAAACAGCAAGCUGGAACGUGCCAAUGUUUUUCAGCAAGUUUUGUUUCUUAAAUUCUCACUUUCACUGCUAGUCAUUCAGUUUUAAAAUACAGCUCUCAGGUUACCACAGGCCCAUUUUGGCUUUCCAUAUGCAUGUCCAUCUGUCUCUCUGCAAUGCCAUAACUCCACUGAACACUGAGCUGAUGGAGUUUGUUACAAACAUUAUGAGCACAAUUCUACAUUUUCAUAUUUUGCUAUCUCAAGUUCACUAUAUUAUGAUUGCCAUGGUCAUUUGCAAAGAGAAAGGGAAACUACAACAUGCAGUGAGUUGCCUCCUGUAAAGACGGACAUCAGAAUGAAGUGGGCACGCAUGUUCUAAAAAGUAUGAUACAUUUCAAGUAAGAAACUCUACUCAAUCUCCAUACCUAUUUUCAAGAGAGACAGAAGCGAGCAAUGCUCUUAAAUGCUGUAAUUUAUGUGCUUAGGAGAUGAUAGUCCCAACCUAAUAAACAAAGACAAAUUAUAAUGAAGAAGACUGGCAGGAGCACAGGUCCUGAACUGAGCUGCCAAUAUUGGGUAGUAUCAAAAUGUGAGAGAUAAAAUAAAAUACAACAGCCACUCAGAGUGGCUUGGCAAAACCACCAAACACAUGGAAAACUGUUUGGAAACAUGCCUUGCAGCUCAAACUAUGCAUUAUUAGGCACCCAGUUGAGUGAUUAACGGUGCAAUCAUAUGCAUGUUUAGACAGAAAUAAGUCCUACAACUACCAGCAUUCCCCAGCCAGCUUUUCUGUUUAAAUAUGCAUGGGAAUGUGUCAUAAGAAACGCGGUGGUUAAGAACAUAAGCGCAAUCCCCUGGUUCAAAUCUCAGUUCAGCUAUGCACCAUUUUCUUCAUUUAGCUCACAUCUCUAAUAACAGCCCUUGACUACCUUAAGGGUUGUGUUAUGUAUCACCCAAGGCAAAUUCUCACACAUCAGUGAGAACCAGUGAUGAUAUCGGAAAGCUCCCUUUCCCCUGCCUUUCAUCAUCAGUGAGGAAAAAAACACUGCCCAGACCAGGGACGGGGAUCCACCAGUCUUCAAGAUUUUUACCCAGCCUGCAGGAGCUUCCCAAACCCUGCGUCAUGGAAGCAACUGAGAAAAGGUGGGGAUCUGUGAUCAGAGGGGAUUCCUGUGUGCUGACUGUCUCUGCCCAGCCUGGGCAAAAUGGGGCCUCCCUGCCCAAGGUCGAAGGCAGAGGCACACAAGGGAUUCCUUGUACUUGAGGAGAGGAGAGCGGUUUAAGUAGGGAUCCCUCACACCUAGUGCAGCCCAUGCUCUUGCAGUUAGGAGGGCAAGCAGGGGUGCCCUAGCUGGGGAAGUUUUCCUGGACAGAGAGAAGCCAAGCUGGCGAAGUCUCCAGUGGAAGGCGGUGGCUCCAGUGUCAGGGGAGCAGAUCUUAAAGAGCUUUCCGUGGUCCUGAACCCUGCCUCCAAAACAGGUUCUGCACCAGGGAUCACUCCUCUAAAAUUCAGGCAGAAACCUGGGUCAAUAAAGCACCACACACUGACCUUGGAAUCAACAGCCAUUUCUGCCAUCACGUUCAAAAGGAGCCAAAAGCAUUCUGAAAGCUCACCUCCACCCACCCACGCUUCCACUAGAGGCAAGUGCAGGGUGGCCAAGCCACCCCAACUGCCACACGGGGUACACCAUCCUCCAGUACCUUAGCCUGGACUGCUUCACUGAAUGCCGGCCUUCUCCUCCAGACUGGAAAAGCCCACAUGCAGCGACACCUGAUGGCCAACUGCCAUUGUGGAGGACCCGCUCAACACUUUGGGUGGGGGACAGAGGAUGUCACAAUAUGAGGUCACAUUCACCAACAUCAGGGUGCGCUGCCAGCCCAGAACAUCAUUCAGUCCAGAGAGGGCUGGGGAGGGGGGAGUCGUCAGGUCCUGCACACCAAAUAUGUCCCUCCCAGCACAGAUCCAUGCAGCAAUUUUGUAUCAGCACACCAUAUUGCUUGGUCUAUUUUUCAAAAAUGGAAAAGUGGCACAAAUAUUUCUAAGUAAAUAAAAUAAAUAGAUCUAAGGAAGCUGUUGCAGAUGUUCAGAUAAUGCACAUAGUUUAUUAUAUUUGCUUAACAUGAUAAAAGCAUUUUAGCACUGUCACCCUGGAUAUGGACCACUGACACCCAGAAGGGCUUUUUAAUCUGAGUGAUUAGUUUAUAACACAAAGAUGCAAACUUGUAAAAAUCUGGACAUGAAAUUUACUUAAUCUGGGUUAAUGUUGAUGGCAUUAUUGAAACAAUUACCCCCCUGUUAAUGCCAACCUACACUCCAAUGUGAGAUCAAUUCAUGAAGAUAUAGUUAAAACAAUGCAAAAACACAUGCCUUAAUUUUAAUUGAUUUUUCCACUGAUAAACCCCCCAAAAAUCUAUAUUAAUAUCUUAGCAAACCCUAAAAUGUUUAAAUAUUGAAUACAAGUUAUCUUAAUUGGCUUUAAAUUCAAGGAAAGAGCCAAAACAUCUUGUGCAACUUUUUAGCACUAAAGCAAUCUGCUCCAGCUUGAGUGUUAACAAUUGGUAGUUUUAAACAGAAUUAAUGCCUGUUUGGGGGUGGCGGGGGAUGAAGGAGAUGACAGUGUAAGGGAAAAGUAAAGGAUAUUCUCAAGUCCAUCAUUUGUAGUCUGGGGAAAAAUUCUUAUCCAACUAAAAGUAAACAUAAGAUUUUAUUCCAAAUCCUGAUUUUACAGUCAUUGUCUAUAGCAACUGUGUCCAUAACAUUCUAACUCUCAGGAGUGCUACUUUCUAGUAAAUGGUACAUCUGUCAAACUGCAGGAAACAUCUGGGAAAAUUGUUGCAGAAAAAGUAGCAAGUUUAAAAUUUUUACUCCAUAAGUACAAAGCCUAGAGUACUUUUAAAGAGGUGGCUUGCUUAUAAUGCUACGUGGUUAAUGCACAUGGAUUCCCAUGCAAUAAAUGGAUGUGCAUUUAAGAACUAAACCACCGUAAUCCACCUUGUCUGCUUUGACCUGUAGUUUAUUUUACCUGUGAUGCUUUACCUAUCCUAAUGAAGGAAAACUGCACCCACAUAUAUUGUAGAUGAAGACUGCUUGUAUGCUUAUUCUGCUGUUUGCUUGCAUGUGUAAACAUGCCUCACUUUUUACACGUAACAGUGUACAUGGUUGCACAGGGCUGUCCUCUUAAACCUCUGUAAGUGCAAUAUCAAAUUAAAUGGCAGUAUGCAAUCAAUUUUUAAAUCACAUUUUGCAUGUUAUAUGAGUUUGCCAUUUAUGCAUCAUUUAUUAUGUUCUUUCCCCAAAGGGACUCAGGAAAGUGCAUGUUGAGGUUAAUCAUUAAUUGUACUGGAGUUUCUCCAAUUGCAUUAUACUCAAAGUAGGAAAUUUAAAUACAAUAGUCAGGAACUGUAAUACAUUACAAUGUAACAUUAACAUCUAAACAAUUGUGGUUAAUUCAGGACAACUGCCAGCAGUCCAAGCCAGCAAAGUCAAUGGUCAGAAAAAACAGAACUUUGGGUCAAUAUCUGGUGGGCCACAGUUUCCCAGAGCUAAUUUAAAAUGUAUGAAAAUCCAACAAGAAUAUCCAGUACCAAUAUUAUAUGCCUAUUAACUGAUUCAUUCAAAAGUUCAUAUUAAGAGACCUAACAGUAAGACCCUAACCUAUAUCACACAAACAGAAAGAACAAAAAGCCACAAACGCACUUCAGAUAGCACAUCCUUCCUCACAACAGAAAGCGACACCCCUGCCCCACCACUGCACCUGAGGUCCUUCAUUCUCAUGGAAACUUCCAUCCUGGCUAUCUCUAGAAACAACAGGAUGCGAGCAGUAGCAAAACAAACGGUUUGCUAUUCUUGGGCAGAGAUCCUUGCUAAAAGCUAUAGAGUAUAAAUACAUACUCAUACCUCAUAUAUCAAAGGUUGUCUGAAGGCUGAUAAUCCAAAAACAAGCCAUAUAUUUAACUCAAAAGGCCAGAAAGUCCCCUCAUAUUUUCUGGUGGAGUCUCUUUCUCCUCCUCUCACUUCACAGAAACUCUGCAUAGUCAGGAGUAUGACUAGCCAAAGAUCUCCCAAGUCAUGAUCUGAAUCCAGGUGUCUCUUGUUUGAAGACAUGUGUAACAGACAUGCACCAGGAAGGCACAGCCUAUCAUGAUUCCCUCGUGCAUAUCUACCCACCAUUUACAGAGAUGCCCUUUAAAUAAUGGUGGCCAUCAAGGAAUAAAAUCAGCAAGCCGAGCAGCCUCAGCAGUCCAUACUUGUGACAAAAUGGUUGGAAUUUAUCAUGAAAUUUAUAUAGGAAAAGGGGGCCUUAAAAUGUACUUGAGGAGAGAAGACCAGUUUAACAAUUUAGAAUGAAAUCCCAUGCUGCCUGGGGAAUGCUGGGAGUUCUGGGACUUUUUUCUGUCUAAACAUGCACAGCAUUGUGCCUUCAGGCAUCAUGAUUUUUUCUUUUUCUCUUUAGGCUUUAAAAAGGCAUCAAACCGUAUUAACCAAGAAGCUUUAGAGUGACCAAGGAUGAUUGGAUUUUCUAGGACUUACUCGCUCAGUCAUCUGUGUUACUGUACAUGUGGCACAAUUUUUUCUGCCAUGAAUUCUUAAUAACUUUAAAGGUUUUUACCAAGUAUUAAAAGCUUCCCCAUAUUUUCCAUUUUGUUGGACAGUCAGUAACCUUUGGCUGGUGAUGGUGAUUAGGGAAACUUCCCCCUACUCAUUCAGUCCCUACACUGACUUCCAUUCCUGUCUGCUCCAUGAUCCAGGGAAGUGCCUAAUCCAAGAAUUCUAGGCCUUGUAUUCCAUGGCUUUUUCUUUUCCCUUUUACAUUCACACCAUCUGUAACCAGUAGAAUGCAUACUGGGAUAGUAAACUCCGCUUUUUACUGCUAAUGUGAAUGGCAAACCACAGAGUGUGUGCCACCUGCUUCACAUAAUAGGUGAGUAGAAAGCAGUACCCCAAACCCAUUUCCUCAGAGGUCCUUUAUUUUGAAGUAGGCCAUAGAAAAGGUUGGGAAGUCUGCAAAACAGAAGCCAUAUACGUGCCAGUCCAUAUACUGGUAGCAAAGGAAACUCAUACACUGUAGUUCAUUCAUGAGAAAUAUGUGCUUUACAUAAAGUCAAUACCUCUGUUAGAUCAAUGCAAAACAAUCUUGGCCUUUAGAAGGAAGCUUUUCUCUGCACCUGUGACAUUCAGACCAUGUUUUUAGAAACAAGAGCUAUCACACCUGAAAUUCCCAUGAAGUCAAAUUCCGAGCAGAAUGUACGCAGCCUUGUGUGUCAACAGUUAAGCCCUAUAAUCCCAAGAGCAGCAACAUGAAACUAAGUUUAAUGGAAGCCCAAAUGUUACAAGUGGGUCUGUUUGGUAGAAUAAAGGUUCAUUCAAUAUGAAAACAAUCCAAAGCGCUACAAUACA